CUACAAUACGCGUAUAUAGGUAGGUGUACAUAUUAUUACAUUAUAUAAUAUUAUAUCUAUACAUAGUCACCCGGCAGCUCUGCAUGCGUGUAGUUAUUACACGGAUCGACGGCCUUUUACUGAAUUGGAUUAGAAAAACGGAUCCGGCUUGUAUUUCAGUGAUUCGAUUACAGUACAAGUCUACUUCUACAGAUAGUAUUGUACUGCUGGUCGUGUGUACAUGCAGAGUUGCUUACGGUCAUGAGAAUCGUCUCGCAAGUGCGCAGUCGUUCGUAUGAUGGAGUUCAGUCUUUCAUAUCCGGUCGAGUAUCAAUUGUAUGUCAUUUAAGAUCAAAACUAGUUAUACGGAGAGAAGAAUUAUUGAUAAAUUUCACAAAGGUAGAGAAAAAUAGAGAAGGAUAUACAAUUAUUAUCAGUCAACUAAGUCAUGUGGCGGAAUCAACGACCUAUGAUGUAUAGGUCCAAACAAUCCAUCACCACAUCGAGUUUGACUGAGCUAUUUGGGCCCAUCAAAAUGACUGUUGCGGAUAGCUUCUUGAUCUCGAUUUUAGAUAUAAUUAAAGCAAUAUUUAGCAUCGAAUAGUGAAGUCUUGUCAGUGUACCAACAGAAUUAUAGAUUGCUAGUUUCUACAUUCUGCAGUUCGAUCAGGUAGGACUAUUUAGCUCGGUUGUAAUCAUCAAGAUGACUGGCACCUUGAUCUCGGCAUCAAUACAACAAUACAAUACAUAUACAUUAUACACACUAAAUAUGCUACAUAUAUAUAUCGAUAUAAAAGUAUGCUUACCCACAUUGUUUUAUUUAAUAGUAAAUUAUUUAUUCAUUUAAUUACCUAAUCCUUAGGUAAGAACUUUAAAAUAACACUAUAUUCUAUUAUAAUAUUUGAAUAUUUUGAACUUAGAUUCAACGAAUCAACUACACAUAUAUUUUUUAAAAAGUUAAUAAUACGCGAGUCAUAUUAAUUUUUUUUUCAACAAAUAGUAAAGUUCUUUGUUAAUUUAAAUCUAAAACAUAAACAUUAUAAAGCAGUUAUUACUUGGCUUAUCGCAAAUUUCUCAUUAUUUAGAUUAAUUGUAUUAAUAUUUUUAGUUUGUAUAACUAUAAUAAUAUUUAUGUGAAGUACUGACAUAUUAAUUUGUUUUAUAUGCAUACAAAUAACUUAACACUUAACAUCAAACUUUACAGUUAAAUACAUUUAAAUUUUUUAACAAAACUAAAAAAAAAAAUAUAAAUAUCUAUUAUCUACCUAUUCUACAUGGUACAUUUACUCAUUAUUUUCAGUUUCUAGUAUAUAAAAUAGCCAUUUUCAAGCCCUUUUCAAUACUUUUGCUGUAAUAUGCACCUCAAAUAAUUUGAGAAAUGUUGUAGCUAGACAAUUUGAUGAUUAUUGGCCUAUUGUAAUAAUAUAGGUCGGUCUAUUUGGCCGUCGUUUAUAAUUAUUAAAUAUGAUUUCAUAAAAUGUUAUUUAUGAUCGUUUAUUAUUUGAUAAUUUGAAGUGAUUUAUGUAAAUAUAUUUUCAAAGGGCCGAGCUCAUUUAUAUUAUGAAAAUAAAAUAUUAAAUAAGUUAAUAAAACAUAAUAUAGUCACAUGCAAGGGCGUAGUCAGGGGGAGGGUUUCAGGGUUCAGACCCUCCCCGAAAUUUUUUCUUGAAAUGAGAUUGAAUAGGUUUUAAUGCCUAUUAUAUUUAAAACUUGUAUAAUAUAACAUAUUUAUACUCUAAAUAUCCCCCAAAAUUUUUUUCUGGCUACGGUCUUGGUCACAUGACUGCACAUGUUAUAAAGAUAUCAUAUUAUCAUAUUGUUCAUAUUACACGAUUAACAGAUACUUAGCUAUAAAGAAAACUUAAAAACUAGAAACUUUUUAAUUUGACUGCUUUAAGUUUUAUUUGGAAAAAUAAAACAAUAUUAAACAAAUAAUUUUAAUUGGUGUUUGAUUUUAUAUUAGGUAUUAUAAUUAUUAUUAUUAUAUUUAUUA